rnacentral:lncRNA from 1 species
GAGGCGCUUACUAACACUGCCAGGCUCUGAGCAGUCAUGGGGAAUGGACAGUCGCUGUGAUUUAGGAUCAUACCAUAUAAUAAGUGCAUGCCCCUGUAAAUAAACCAAUGACUUGUGAGCACUGUAAAAGAGAACAGGAUCUGGACCCGCAGAGGGACACUCGUCGAAGACUGCAGAGUUUUGAUCAGCUCUUUCUUAGUCUGGAGUGGAAGGCCCUGAGAGAUUUAUCAAAGUGGAUUUCUGUAUCAAGAAUAGUAAUAUUUCAAGUUCUUAUUGAAGUGUGAGCAGUAACUGGCACUUUCACAAGCGAGAAAGAGGCCAAUGUCAGCUAUGACGAAUAAAAUAAAAGGUAAAAUGAAAGUCAUCCAGUGUUAGGCUUAGCCCUAAUGAAAACAAAAUGAAAAGCUUGGAUUUAGACAGAGGUCUUUAUCUUGGGAAUUCUGCCUUUUAACCAGAGUUAGGAC